rnacentral:rRNA from 1 species
CUCUACAGGCAGUUUGAUCCUGGCUCAGGGAUUCGUACAUGGUUCCCCCGAUUUAUUGGCGGACGGGUGAGUAACACGUGGGUAAUCUGCCUGUAAGACGGGGAUAACUCCGGGAAACCGGGGCUAAUACCGGAUAAUAAGAGAAGAAGCAUUUCUUCUUUUUGAAAGUCGGUUUCGGCUGACACUUACAGAUGAGCCCGCGGCGCAUUAGCUAGUUGGUGAGGUAACGGCUCACCAAGGCGACGAUGCGUAGCCGACCUGAGAGGGUGAUCGGCCACACUGGGACUGAGACACGGCCCAGACUCCUACGGGAGGCAGCAGUAGGGAAUCUUCGGCAAUGGGCGAAAGCCUGACCGAGCAACGCCGCGUGAGCGAUGAAGGCCUUCGGGUCGUAAAGCUCUGUUGUUAGAGAAGAACAAGUACGAGAGUAACUGCUCGUACCUUGACGGUACCUAACCAGAAAGCCACGGCUAACUACGUGCCAGCAGCCGCGGUAAUACGUAGGUGGCAAGCGUUAUCCGGAAUUAUUGGGCGUAAAGCGCGCGCAGGCGGUCUCUUAAGUCUGAUGUGAAAGCCCACGGCUCAACCGUGGAGGGUCAUUGGAAACUGGGAGACUUGAGUGCAGGAGAGAAAAGUGGAAUUCCACGUGUAGCGGUGAAAUGCGUAGAGAUGUGGAGGAACACCAGUGGCGAAGGCGGCUUUUUGGCCUGUAACUGACGCUGAGGCGCGAAAGCGUGGGGAGCAAACAGGAUUAGAUACCCUGGUAGUCCACGCCGUAAACGAUGAGUGCUAGGUGUUGGGGGGGUCCACCCUCAGUGCUGAAGUUAACACAUUAAGCACUCCGCCUGGGGAGUACGACCGCAAGGUUGAAACUCAAGGAAUUGACGGGGCCCGCACAAGCAGUGGAGCAUGUGGUUAAUUCGAAGCACGCGAGGACCUAUCAGUCUGACAUCCUUGACAUCUAGAGAAUAGAAGCUUUCCCCUCCGGACAAAGUGACAGUGUGCAUGAUGUC